rnacentral:lncRNA from 1 species
AGUUUAGUUAAUCAUGUUCAUUGUCUAUUCAGAUGGGAGUAGGAAUUAGCACCGAGCAAACCCAAGGAUGGGAACACACUUGUUAUAUGAGGGUGUGAUUCUUAGAAGCAAUCCUUGCAUUCCAGAACUAUGUAGCCAAUGUAGGUUGAGACAUCAUAGCUUGUUAAAUAUGGGUAGUUGAGGUAGCUUAACCUAUUAUAUGAG